rnacentral:rRNA from 1 species
CCUACGGGAGGCAGCAGUGGGGAAUAUUGGACAAUGGGGGCAACCCUGAUCCAGCCAUGCCGCGUGUGUGAAGAAGGCCCUCGGGUUGUAAAGCACUUUCAGUGAGGAAGAACGCCUGGUGGUUAAUACCCAUCAGGAAAGACAUCACUCACAGAAGAAGCACCGGCUAACUCCGUGCCAGCAGCCGCGGUAAUACGGAGGGUGCGAGCGUUAAUCGGAUUUACUGGGCGUAAAGCGCGCGUAGGUGGCUUGAUAAGCCGGUUGUGAAAGCCCCGGGCUCAACCUGGGAACGGCAUCCGGAACUGUCAAGCUAGAGUGCAGGAGAGGAAGGUAGAAUUCCCGGUGUAGCGGUGAAAUGCGUAGAGAUCGGGAGGAAUACCAGUGGCGAAGGCGGCCUUCUGGACUGACACUGACACUGAGGUGCGAAAGCGUGGGUAGCAAACAGGAUUAGAUACCCUUGUAGUC